UGGGGAAUAUUGCACAAUGGGCGCAAGCCUGAUGCAGCCAUGCCGCGUGUGUGAAGAAGGCCUUCGGGUUGUAAAGCACUUUCAGCGGGGAGGAAGGCGAUAAGGUUAAUAACCUUGUCGAUUGACGUUACCCGCAGAAGAAGCACCGGCUAACUCCGUGCCAGCAGCCGCGGUAAUACGGAGGGUGCAAGCGUUAAUCGGAAUUACUGGGCGUAAAGCGCACGCAGGCGGUCUGUCAAGUCGGAUGUGAAAUCCCCGGGCUCAACCUGGGAACUGCAUUCGAAACUGGCAGGCUAGAGUCUUGUAGAGGGGGGUAGAAUUCCAGGUGUAGCGGUGAAAUGCGUAGAGAUCUGGAGGAAUACCGGUGGCGAAGGCGGCCCCCUGGACAAAGACUGACGCUCAGGUGCGAAAGCGUGGGGAGCAAAAAGG
rnacentral:rRNA from 1 species